rnacentral:rRNA from 1 species
ACGCGAUAAGCCGCGAUAGGCCACGGCGAGGUGCAAGUAACCCUUGACCCGUGGAUUUCCGAAUGGGGCAACCCGGCUGGAUAGAUUCCAGUCAUCCUAAAUGGAGGCGAACGCGGGGAACUGAAACAUCUCAUUACCCGCAGGAGAAGAAAACAACAGUGAUUCCCCCAGUAGUGGCGAGCGAACGGGGAAGAGCCCAAACCGUUGCCGUUUCGGCGACAACGGGGUCAUGGGACCGCGAUAUUCGCGAUAACAUCAAGCGCAAUUACCUGGAAAGGUAAGCCGUGGAGGGUGAUAGCCCCGUGCGCGUAAAUUGUUAUCAAGAUAGCGGUAUCCCGAGUAGGGCGGGACACGAGAAAUCCUGCCUGAAUUCACCAGGACCGCCUGGUAAGGCUAAAUACUCCCGAGAGACCGAUAGUGAACCAGUACCGCGAGGGAAAGGUGAAAAGCACCCCUAGCCGGGGAGUGAAAUAGACCCUGAACCCGCGCGCCUACAAGCGGUCGGAGCCGGUCAGUCCGGUGACGGCGUGCCUUUUGCAUAAUGAGCCUACGAGUUAGUCGUCACCAGCGAGGUUAAGUCCUUCAGGGACGUGAGCCGAAGUGAAAGCGAGCCUCUAAAGGGCGUUAAGUUGGUGGCGCUAGACGCGAAACCUUGUGAUCUACCCUCGUGCAGGUUGAAGUCGCGGUAACACGUGAUGGAGGACCGAACCGGUAAACGUUGAAAAGUUUUCGGAUGACGCGAGGGUAGGGGUGAAAGGCCAAUCAAACUGGGAAAUAGCUCGUACUCUCCGAAAUGCAUUUCGGUGCAGCCUGUGGUGUUCUGUUCUAGAGGUAGAGCUACUGAUUGGACGCGAGGGCUUCACCGCCUAUCAAAUCCGGAUAAACUCCGAAUGCUAGAACACUUGAACCAUGGAGUGAGCCCGCGGGUGCUAAGGUCCGCGGACGAGAGGGGAAGAACCCAGACCACCCGCUAAGGUCCCCGAUGGACGGUUAAGUUGAUAAAACGAGGUGGGAUCGCGAAGACAGCUAGGAUGUUGGCUUGGAAGCAGCCAUUCAUUUAAAGAGUGCGUAACAGCUCACUAGUCGAGUGAUCCCGCGUGGAUAAUACACGGGCAUUAAACCGUCAACCGAAGCGGUGGGGUUAGCAGUAGCUAACCGGUAGGAGAGCAUUCCUGUCGGCGCUGAAGGUGUAUCGCGAGGUACGCUGGAGCGUCAGGAAAAGCAAAUGUAGGCAUAAGUAACGAUAAUGGGGGCGAGAACCCCCCACGCCGAAAGACCAAGGAUUCCCCGGCAAUGCCAAUCAGCCGGGGGUCAGCCGGCCUCUAAGGCUAACCCGAGUGGGGAUGCCGACGAGAAACGGGUUAACAUUCCCGUGCUUCUCGUCACCGUUACGCGGUGACGGGGUGACCAAGGAACCGCGCGCUGACGGAAUAGCGCGUUGAAGGCCGUACCCUUUGACGGUGGUAGUCAAGCACGCCACCGGAGGCGAAAGUCGAUAGUACCGCGAGGCCUCGGCCGAGCGGAUAGCGUUCCGGGCGUUAACCCCCAAGAAAACCCGCUAAACUUCAAGUGACGAGGAACCGUACUGUAAACGGACACACGUGGUCUGGUAGAGGAUACCGAGGCGCUCGAGUGAUUCAUGGUCAAGGAACUAGGCAAAAUAGUCCUGUAACCUCGGGAUAAAGGACGCUCUAGUGAUAGAGCCGCAGAGAAAUGGCCCAGGCGACUGUUUACCAAAAACACAUGGCUAUGCCAAAUCGAGAGAUGACGUAUAUGGCCUGACACCUGCCCGGUGCCGGAAGGUUAAGAGGAGAGCUUAGACGAAAGUCGAGGGUUUGAAUUGAAGCCCCGGUAAACGGCGGCCGUAACUAUAACGGUCCUAAGGUAGCGAAAUUCCUUGUCGGGUAAG